rnacentral:lncRNA from 1 species
AGAGAGAGAGAGAGAAAGACAGAGAGCGAGAGAGAGAGAGAGAGAGAGAGAGAGAGAGAGAGAGAGAGAGAGAGAAACAGAGAGCGAGAGUAAAAAGUAAAAACAAGCAGGUUCUCAUGACAAUGAAAGAAUGAGGAAUUCCUCUGACCUAUGAUUUCAACACUCAUAUUCCUCCUAAUUUCAACUCGUUACCGGCUAAACACAAUCCAUUAAGAUUGACAGACAGACAAAAGAGAACGAGAGAGAAAAAAAAGAAAGAGAGAGCGAGAGAGAAUGUCAGAUCCACUGGAUAUGUCAGUGUGUAGGGGCUAAAACCUUUAUCUAUGCACACACAUGUAGGCCUGAAUGUACACACACACACAGGUGACAACAGACAGUAAAGAAGUUGACAACAGACAGUAAAGAAGUUGACAAAAGACAGUAAAGAAGGUGACAACAGACAGUAAAGAAGAAGUUGACAACAGACAGUUAAAUAAGAAGGUGACAACAGACAGUAAAGAAGUUGACAACAGGCAGUAAAGAAGUUGACAACAGACAGUAAAAUAAGGUGACAACAGACAGUAAAAGAAGAAGUUGACAACAGACAGUAAAGAAGUUGACAACAGACAUUAAAUAAGGUGACAACAGACAGUAAAGAAGAAGGUGACAACAGACAGUAAAGAAGAAGCUGACAACAGACAGUAAAGAAGAAGGUGACAACAGACAGUAAAAAAGAAGGUGACAACAGACAGUAAAGAAGAAGGUGACAACAGACAGUAAAGAAGAAGCUGACAACAGACAGUAAAGAAGCUGACAACAGGCAGUAAAAGAAGACGGUGACAACAGACAGUAAAGAAGUUGACAACAGACAGUAAAAGAAGAAGGUGACAACAGACAGUAAAAUAAGGUGACAACAGACAGUAAAGAAGAGAAAAGGUCAUAUAAGGCAGCACAGGAAGGUAAACGGCC